GCCACCUCCAAAUUAUCAUUUUUUCCUCCCUUUUUCUUUUUCUUCUUCUUCCUAUCUCUAAUCUUCCAUUCUUUUUACCAAACGAACAGCAAAAUCUCUCCCGAAUCCUUUCUUCUUCGUUUCAUCUCCAUCAAUUUCGCACCCUAAAUCUCUAUUAAACUCAAUUUCGACUUUAGAGUACAGAGUUUGGAUUCGAUUGAUUGAAUAUUCAAUAUUCUCUAACCUGUAACCCUAAAUUCAAAAUUGGAUGAAUUUGAACGAACCACCACCACCAUCACCAAGUUCGUCCUCUGCUUUCUAAUUGAAUAUUGGGUGAAUUCAUUGAAUUACUUCCACGAUUUCUUGACAGAGAAUCAUCAACCAUUUUUUCAGGAGAUCCCAAUUUAUUUUUUUCUCGAAGAUUGCAAACUUCAGAUUUGGGUAAAAAAAUUCUGAUUGAAGAACAAUUUGUGGUUAAUGCUUUUUGUUGGAGUCAUCAAUUGUUUUGGAAUAGCAUAGGGUGGUGAAGAUACAAAUUGAAAUGAUGCAGACCCCAAUCUGGGUAAGAUUGUAGUUUAUGGCGCUUCUUAUCCUGCCAUCUCCAAGGUUCACUUCCUCUACAAAGGCACUUUGCGUGUUCUGCUGGUGCUGAUUCAUGAGUUAAUACCAACGGAAAGUGAUUACCAUUCCGAUAAAAAGAAAGCCAAUAAACUGAAAGCAAAUGAGGUCUCUAUCGAUGCUGAUGAUCUUGAAGUGAAGCGGAGGGGAAAGAAUAAGAAGACUUCAAGAGAUAGAAGAAGGAAGAAGAGACAAAGAUUUUAUUCUUCUGAAUCCGAUAGUUCAUCGGAUUCUGAAACGUAAUCAUCUGAAUUCGAUAGCGACUCGGAUUCCGGUUCCGCCUCUGAUUUUUCUUCAUCAUCUGACAUUAGUCCAAGUCUGGUAAAUGUUGAUAGUCCAGGGUUGCAAUAUUGGCAAAAUUUUGUUUCCUGUAACAAGUUUUGCUUGUAGUGCUUGCAAGUCAUUGAAGGUGGUAUUCCAAGUCUGGUAAAUGUUGUAUAUGCAGUGUGGUUCAUUACUUUCACCAGGCCUUAGUUGUUACCAGAUGAAGACAUUAUUGCUGGAGUAGUUUCUGAUGGAAGUUUCUUUCAGUAGUGAAUUUAGAUUUAACUGUCACUGUAGCAGCAGAGAUAGUAUUGUGUUUAUUGUUCCUUCAUUUGUUAUGGGUAAGAGGAAUCGAUGGAAUUUUUGUUGGUAGAUAUAGCUUGGGUAUAAGAUUAUUGCGUCAA